CCACUUUGUCUGGGAACUGCGAAUGGCUCAUUAUAUCAGUUAUAGUCUACUCGAUAGUACCUUACUACUUGGAUAACCGUAAUAAUUCUAGAGCUAAUACAUGCAUCAAUACCCAACUGCUUGUCGGACGGGUAGCAUUUAUUAAAUUGAAACCAAUGCAGUCUUCGGGCUGGUAUUGUGUUGAGUCAUAAUAACUGUGCGGACCGCACUUUUGUGCGGUAAAUCGAUUGAGUUUCUGCCCUAUCAGCUUUGGAUGGUAGGAUAUGGGCCUACCAUGGCAUCAACGGGUAACGGGGAAUGGGGCGGGGGCGGCGGGCCGGGCGCGGGGCGCGGCGGGCGG
rnacentral:rRNA from 1 species